GGCUUUAUAUUCAAUAAUGAUAUUAGACUGCAAUUCUAAAGGUGUAUUAAUUACUAAAGCCU
rnacentral:tRNA from 1 species